GUAGCUCAGUUGGUUAGAGUGCCGGCCUGUCACGCCGGAGGUCGCGGGUUCGAGCCCCGUC
rnacentral:tRNA from 1 species